rnacentral:rRNA from 1 species
UACGGAGGAUGCAAGCGUUAUCCGGAGUGAUUGGGCGUAAAGCGUCCGCAGGUGGCUGUGUAAGUCUGCUGUUAAAGAGUGAGGCUCAACCUCAUAAAGGCAGUGGAAACUACAUGGCUAGAGUGCGUUCGGGGCAGAGGGAAUUCCUGGUGUAGCGGUGAAAUGCGUAGAGAUCAGGAAGAACACCGGUGGCGAAAGCGCUCUGCUAGGCCGCAACUGACACUGAGGGACGAAAGCUAGGGGAGCGAAUGGG